UUCAUUUUCGAAAAUAAUUUCUAUCUACGAAAGGAUAGUUUCGAAAAGUAAAAAAAUGAUGAUAAGUAUAAAUGAGGAGUUUUUCCAACAACCACUCCCUCAAACAUCCCCUUCUCUCUUAAUCAUUCUUUAUCCUCUUUAAUAAUAAAAACCGUGUUGAGAUUCCUAGAAAUUAUCGCCAACAGGCGCAAUCUAUUGAUGCCAAAAUGUUUCUGUUUGCAACCCUGUUUUGUGCUUAGGAAGUAGCCGACUCAACACGUGAGACGUUUUCGUGUACAACGGAGGUAAAAAAAAAUCGCUUGGCUGCAGACGAUUACAAACGUCGAGAGAACGGAGCGCCGUGUAGUGCAGUGUAUAUUCCUUGAAUGUUCCUACGCAGAAUGAAAAGAGGUGUCCGCCGCUGCGGCACUCAUGUUUACUACCCAGGAUAACAAAGAUUUGUGAAAACGUAUUUUUUUCUUGACAUUCUUACAUUCCUAAAAGUGCUUUAGAUGUAGAACUUAUUAAUUUAGAACGCAAAAUGUCUGCCUUUAAGAUGGGACCCGAAUGGCGAGAGCCUAUUGAUUCACUAUGUUUCUACUGCGUUUUUUACGUGACUUGAUUUGUUGCCACCAGGAACUAAAUUUAUCUAAAAGGUAAAAUGCGACGACAACAAGGCAUUUGAAAAUUUAUGGUGAUAUUAUUAGAGAAUGAAUUGUCAUACAAUAUUUUAGAACUGUAAAGCUGAUUAGAUUAGGCAUAUCAUUUUGUUAUCACUUGCUUUAUUUUUAAAAUGGAGAAUGCAGCACCAGGCUGUUUCUCACGGAUCUGUUUUGUAACAAUCUUUCUAAAUCUGUACACCAAGUUUUAAAAAGUUAUUAAAAAACCUUACAUAAUAAA